rnacentral:lncRNA from 1 species
GAGUUUUGUUUAUGCGUGAGUCUUGAGAGGCUUGCAACACUUGUUCUUUCGAUUCCUGAGGGAGUUGUAGAACGCCGAACUGCGGUUCAUCCAGUUCGUGCCUUCACGUCUAUAGGGCGUGAUUGCGUGGGCUGUUUCGUCGGUACGUGGAAGGGUGAUUGUCUCGGUAGUUCGUCGCGUGGACAGCCUCGUGGUGCACUGCCUCUUCACCAGGUCACGCAGCGACAAGUUAUCAAGUUCGCGGAUCCUACGAGAAGAUCGGGCCACACAACUUGCUACACGCGUUGCAUAGGCGUGUGCAUAUCA